AUGGGUGUCAAGUGUGGUGGUGUCGUGUGGUGUCUCCUGCUCGCCGGGCUCCUUCUCCUGGCCGUGGCCUCCGCGGCGGAGCGGGACACGGAGAAGGAGGAGGAGAUCCGGUUGUGCAAGAAGGUCUGCGACUGGAAGGCGGGGGAGGACACCGGGAAGGCCAGGGAGUGCAAGGAGCAGUGCGAGCGCCGCCGCCACGGCCACGAGCUGCUCCAGGAAGACGGCGACAGCUUCGACAGCUGCGUGAGCCAGUGCCGGGGCCAUGGGGGCUGGUGGGGGAAGGAGCGGUGGGAACGGUGCAGGCAGAUAUGCAGGCAACGCCAAGAAGGGGAGGGGGGCGACGACGACUUCGACGAGGGCGACAACGCCGACGACAGGUGCGACAGGAUGUGCCAGCGCUACCACGACCGGCAGGAGAAGAUGCAGUGCAUGAAAGGCUGCAGACAUGGCGAGUCCGGCCUCCUCCGCUCCGACGAGGGCCACAAACACGGAGACCGCUGCCAAACACAGUGCAAGCGCUUCCGGCCCGGGUCAUACGACAGGCAGCAGUGCAUCGAAAAGUGCCAGUGCCAGCAGAAGGAGGAGGAGGAGCUGAUGAACCACCACGGCGGCCACGAAAGCAGCAGCUGCGAGCAGAAAUGCCAGCAGCGACACCGCCACGAGUACGAUAGGCAGCAGUGCGUGCGAGACUGCAAAAGCGGCGGUGGCGGCGGCGCCGGUGGGCGUGGCCGCGAGGGCGACGAGCGCCAGCACGACAGGGGGAUGGUGGUCGAAGCCAUCCUCGAGGAGGUGUAA
rnacentral:rRNA from 1 species